rnacentral:rRNA from 1 species
ACCGGGUCUAAUACUGGAUACUACUUCCUGCCGCAUGGUGGGGGGUGGAAAGGGUUUUACUGGUUUUGGAUGGGCUCACGGCCUAUCAGCUUGUUGGUGGGGUAAUGGCUCACCAAGGCGACGACGGGUAGCCGGCCUGAGAGGGUGACCGGCCACACUGGGACUGAGACACGGCCCAGACUCCUACGGGAGGCAGCAGUGGGGAAUAUUGCACAAUGGGCGGAAGCCUGAUGCAGCGACGCCGCGUGAGGGAUGACGGCCUUCGGGUUGUAAACCUCUUUCAGCAGGGAAGAAGCCACAAGUGACGGUACCUGCAGAAGAAGCGCCGGCUAACUACGUGCCAGCAGCCGCGGUAAUACGUAGGGCGCAAGCGUUGUCCGGAAUUAUUGGGCGUAAAGAGCUCGUAGGCGGUUUGUCGCGUCUGCUGUGAAAGCCCGGGGCUCAACCCCGGGUCUGCAGUGGGUACGGGCAGACUAGAGUGCAGUAGGGGAGACUGGAAUUCCUGGUGUAGCGGUGAAAUGCGCAGAUAUCAGGAGGAACACCGAUGGCGAAGGCAGGUCUCUGGGCUGUUACUGACGCUGAGGAGCGAAAGCAUGGGGAGCGAACAGGAUUAGAUACCCUGGUAGUCCAUGCCGUAAACGUUGGGCACUAGGUGUGGGGGACAUUCCACGUUCUCCGCGCCGUAGCUAACGCAUUAAGUGCCCCGCCUGGGGAGUACGGCCGCAAGGCUAAAACUCAAAGGAAUUGACGGGGGCCCGCACAAGCGGCGGAGCAUGCGGAUUAAUUCGAUGCAACGCGAAGAACCUUACCAAGGCUUGACAUUCACCGGACCGCACUGGAGACAGUGUUUCCCUUCGGGGUCGGUGGACAGGUGGUGCAUGGUUGUCGUCAGCUCGUGUCGUGAGAUGUUGGGUUAAGUCCCGCAACGAGCGCAACCCUCGUUCUAUGUUGCCAGCACGUGAUGGUGGGGACUCAUAGGAGACUGCCGGGGUCAACUCGGAGAAAGGUGGGGAUGACGUC